CAGCAGCCGCGGGAAUACGUAGGGCGCAAGCGUUGUUCGGAAUUAUUGGGCGUAAAGGGUGCGUAGGCGGCUUGACAAGUCUUGUGUGAAAUCUAUGGGCUCAACCCAUAGUCUGCACGGGAAACUGUCGGGCUUGAGAAUGGGAGAGGUGAGUGGAAUUUCCGGUGUAGCGGUGAAAUGCGUAGAUAUUGGAAGGAACACCUGUGGCGAAAGCGGCUCACUGGACCAUUUCUGACGCUGAUGCACGAAAGCUAGGGGAGCAAACAGGAUUAGAUACCCCGGUAGUCCCUGUCUCUUAUAC
rnacentral:rRNA from 1 species